AAUAGAUACCCGGGUAGUCCACGCCGUAAACGAUGGAUACUAGCUGUUGGGGGUAUCGACCCCCCCAGUAGCGAAGCUAACGCGUUAAGUAUCCCGCCUGUGGAGUACGGUCGCAAGACUAAAGCAUAAAGGAAUUGACGGGGACCCGCACAAGCGGUGGAUUGUGUUCUUUAAUUCGAUGAUAAACGAAGAACCUUACCAGGGUUUGACAUCCCUUGAAUUAUGCCGAAAGGCGUGAGUGCUUUAUUGAACAAGGUGACAGGUGAUGCAUGGCCGUCGUCAGCUCGUGUCGUGAGAUGUUUGGUUAAGUCCAUCAACGAGCGCAACCCUUGUCUUCAGUUGGAUUUUUCUGAAGAGACUGCCCCGGCAACGGGGAGGAAGGAGGGGAUGAUGUCAGGUCAGUAUUUCCCUUACAUCCUGGGCUAGAAACGCAAUACAAUGGCGAGUACAAUGCGCAGCGAAGCGGCAACGUGAAGCAAAUCGCAUCAAAACUCGUCCCAGUUCGGAUUAGAGGCUGAAACUCGCCUCUAUGAAGUCGGAA
rnacentral:rRNA from 1 species